GCCGCGGUCGGCCGGGGAGGUGGCGGCCGCACUCGGUCUGUGGUUCAUCGGGUUCCAGUCCCGGCCGGGACU
rnacentral:tRNA from 1 species